UUUUGUAAAAGUAAAAAUCAAAUGUCACCCCUCCCAGACCAAAAAGCACACAUCUAUAUUUGCCCUGAACACCCCCCUUGAUCUGCAUGAAAUGGUUUGUUCCUGCUUGGAGCGCUUGACGGUGACGGUGUUCAGCCGC